UGUACAAGUCGUGCUGGUUUAAUUGAAUUAAACCGGGUCAAACCGGAAUAAACCGGUCAACAUCUCAAAAUCGCAUCCACAGCGGCCAUCGCAUCCCGCUCCACCAAGUCGAUAUUGGACAGGGGCAUGGGUCUUUUCCCAGCGGGUUCAUCAUCCCGUUUCACUAAGCCGCUGUGAUGCUUGAUCUUUUAUGAUGGAUUUCCCGAGCGGGUUCUUCUUCCUGCGUUGCCAGUGGUCGCUGUGAACCACGCUCAAUGCUCAACGGUGUCUCUCUCCUGCUCUGAUUCACGCCGUCGUCGUCGUCAGCCCAAGCUUCAGUCUUCGUCGCAAAUCAAGCCGUGACUGCGCCACCGUCUCCUCCAAGACGCGACCAAGCUUCCUCUGUGGCCGUGCUCAGCUCCACCGUAGUGCUCCGUCGUCGUCGUCGGCUCACGGCCUCUCUAUCUCCUGUGGCCGUGCUCAGAAUCUCCGCCGUGGAAGCUCCGGAAUCGCCAUCGGGAGUCGUCGCUUCAGUUUCCUCCGUGAAAGCUUGACCACGAGCUCCAAUGGUGAUCCACUGGCUGUCGUCCUUGAAACCUCCGCUUUCCACCACGAACUCCGCCACGGAUCAUCAUGUUCAGGCUAGCUCAGAUCCUCCGUAGUGACCUCAGUUCGAGCCGUGAAAGCAUGUCCUGAAGCUCCGGAGUCGUCGCUUCUCGCCUUCGCAGCCAUCGUCACGGAGAAGAGAAACAACAAUGGAGAUGUUCUAUCAAUUUGCGACCUUGGUCCCUGGAGUUUUUCUUGUUUACAAUUCAGCCCCAAUACUUCAUAAUUUGCAGUGAUGCCUCUCAAAUCAACCCCUGGACUUUUUAUUGUGCGAUUUAACCCAAGCAAGUAUUCUGAAUUUGCAGCAUUGGUCCCUCGACUUUUGAUGGUUUCCAAAUCAGCCACUAAGUCUUGAAUGCACAAGAACAACCUCACAUUUUGGCUCCAAACUUCCAUUUGUGCAAUCCAACCCCUAUGAUAUGCAAAUGAGUAUGCAAAUGCAACAUAAAGACCUAAAUGCAAUCUAAAAUUAUCAUAUUAAACUUAAAUAUGAAUCUAAAAUUCAUUAAAAUCAUGAGAUAUCAACUCUCCCACACUAGUCCUUUACUUGUCCUCAAGUAAACAUUCAAGAUCAAUCAAAGAGGAGAGAAUUGAAAAUAAAAUACAUAACCAAAAGAGUCAUUUUCUAGCCUUCAACCUAACAUCCUAAGAGAAACAUAGCAAAUAGCAUGAGCAACUCUCUUAUUACACUCUAGCUUCUCAAGGCCUAUCAAGACUCUUAUGCCUCAACACAAGUCAUUUACUCAUCAAUCAACAAGUUCCUUAGCCAACCCUCACAUUUAUUAAAGCAAGCAUAUAAGGUGAGUUCUUGCAAAUGGGCACAUGAUCUCAAUCAUUUGGCUUGGUGAGUAAAAAUGAUCUAAUGUGAAGCAAGGGUUUUCAAAUGCAUCUUUUAUGGUGACUCACACUCAAGAAUAGGAGCAAGAACAUUAUGCAAAAUUUAUCUAAGAAAAGGAGCAAUUCAUGCAUACAAUGACUUGUUCUCAUCAUUCUACCCCUUUCCUAAAUGAUUUCAAGCUCUACCCUUCUUCUUUUCAUCAUCCCAAAACCCAAAGAUACACUCACUUUCACCUCUCACCCAAUGAACACAUUCUCAUUUCUUAUUUUAGCCAACUAAGAUUUUUUUUUUAUUCACUCAGCUCUUUUAUUUUUCUUUUCCCCACUCUUUUCAUGUUUUUUUCUUUCUAAAGGGGAUUCUAUUUAUAAACACAAGAGCCCUUUUUUUUUAGAUCCCUAGUGGCUUUCUUUCCUUUUCUCACUCUUUUGGUUCAUUUCUUUUCACUUUCACUCACAUUCCCAAUCCCAAGAUCAAAAGAAUUUAAGUUCACAAAUCCAACAACCAUCCUAGAUGCUAGCCUAAAUGAGGUCCUAAUGCUAGCCAAAGAUGAGAACAACUCAUUGUCGCUCCUAAUACUCUCAAAAUUUUGCACAUGACAUGCUAUCAAUAAAAGACCUCACUCAAGCAAAUUAAUGUUGGUUUCAAAGAAUGGUGAGGGUUAAUGGGUAUGAAGUGUCAUUUAGGUUAACAAAGAUUGGUACAAAGAGAGAAAGAUAACCCAAAUGUGUAUAAUAUCCAUGAUCAAGUAUGCAAAUGCCCAUAUGCAAGAGAGAUUAAGUUCAUUAAGCCCUAGUUCAUUUGGAGUUGGUUUCAAGAACAAUACCAAUCAUCAAGCAAACAACAUGUUUCAAGAAGAGUUUUCAAGGCUCGAAGCUUACAAGCUUUUUCAAGAGAUGCUUAAGCUACUUGAUAUGUUUAGCUAGGAUGUCAAAUUGAGUUCUAGACAUGUGUUCUUUACAAGGUUUCUCUCAAUGCAUGAAUGCAAUCUAAAUGCUUCUAGACUCAAUCCUAAAGAUGCAAAUGGAUCAAGUGAAACUACAUGAAGAUUUUCAAAAAAAAAAAAAAUCAAAAUUUUAUGGAUUUUCUAUGCAAAUAAGUAUUCACAAUGCAAUGUAUGAGACUCAUGGCAAGUAAACAAAACAGAAAAUGAUGUGAGAUAGUAGACUCUCCCCCAAACUUACUUCACACAGUCCCUUGUGUGAUAGUAAGCUCAAAGAAGAGAUCUAAGGGAAAGAAAAAAACAUGAAAACUAUAUAUUUACAAGGUUGGAGUGACACUUACUUGGAGUUAUUGGCUGAAUUGGGUGGUAGAGGACCCUUGGCCUCGGGUUUGUUUCACUGAUGGACAUGGACUGAAGGGGAGAAGGCAAGUGUCUAGAGUCACAAUGCUUCACAUCAGCCAUGGUAAGUAAGAUUUGACCUGAAAAACCUCAACCAUGCUUAUUAAAUAACCUAAAAAGAGAAGAUAAAAAAAAUAUAUACAAUGGAUAAACAUGAGAUUUCCUCCCAAGUGAGCUUGUUUUAAGUCUCUAGCUUGACUUUGUGUGCUUGUUAAUCAUAGGUAUCAAAAGGUUGAGCCAAUGCACCUUUGAUCCUUCUCCUACAAGAACAAGGAACCAAGUAUGCAAAGGAGCACACUACUGUCUAUAGAAAAUAGACAGAUUUUUCCUCAAAUAGCUUCACUAAAGAUGUGACAUGAAUUAUGAAAUGCUCUUUGAGGUUCAGAUGGUCAUGAGAAUCAAAUGUAUAUGGUGGAAACACACAGUCAACUACAGACUCAAACGAGGUUUUAACAAAGUAGUUAACUCUAUCUCCAUCAAUCAAAUAAAACACAAUGUUUUCAUUCUCAUGAUUGUCUUUGACAUGGAGAUUUUCUAUCUCAAGCAAGAACCUAUCAACAUCAAGUUCAUCCCCUAAAUCAGCUAGUUCAAGAAGAGGUCUAGGUUCAUUACGCAUCAAAAACUCAUACUCAAGAUCAAUUGAAACACAAAGAAAGUUCUUGUCAAAACAAAUUUCAAUAUGAUCUCUAGCAAGCUUUUCUAUUCUCAACUCAUCUAGCUUCCUAGUUUCACAUAUUAGAUCAAGACAUUCAUUUAUGAGCACAAGAGAAUCAAGAUCAUGGGCAAUAUUCUCACCACAAGGCAAGCAAAGUUCCUCAAGUUGAAGUUCUAGAGUGGAAAUUCUUGUACCUUCCAGCUGGGGUGGUGGAACCCAAUACAUUACCUCUUUAAGGUCAUAAGCAACAUUGAAUUCAUACUGUGUAACCUCCCUUCCUUCAAGCUCUGCUUGAUCCCUAAUAAGCUCCAUCCGGAUCCUUCGUGCUAGGGAUGUCUUUGCUGACCCCGGGUACUUCUUCUCAAGCUCAUUUAACGUCACAAGCUGUGCUGGUGUGAGUAUACUUGCAUCAAAGGGUGGUGGCUCCACAUACAUAUAUGGCUCAUCUUCGAUGUGAUCUUCCUCUUCUUGUGGCUUCUCAAAACAGCUUGAAGCCAUCACUGCAAGAACAAAAGCUAGAAGUAAAGGUUAGUAACUAUACAAAAGAAAAACAAAGCAAGAAAAUAAAGCUAAGUCUCAAGAAAUAUUGAAAUCCUAAUGAUAAAUCUACUAGUUCCCCGGCAACGGCGCCAAAUUGAUUACGCGUUUAAGCACACACCAAUUAACCUAAUGUGCCAACAAUACCACAAUCGAAUGGUAUGUCAUUGUAGCAUUUUAGGAUCGAAUCCACAGAGAACUAGAGACUUAUAACACCAAGAAUACACAAACCUUCCUAAUCUAAGCAAUCGAAUCCACAAGGAACUAGUGACCUAUAACACCAAGAAUACACAAGCUUUCUUAAUCUAAGCAAACAAGAAGAUGGAUGAUUUGUAACAAGCUAAGAUCCUAGAAAUAUAAACAAGGUGAUCUCAAAUCCAAUCAAGAAAUAAGUACAAGAACUCAAUCAAAUGCUAAGGAUGGAUUCAUGGGUAAGGAUAAUUGAUAUAAGGUGAUCAAGUUUCAAUCUAAAGGUGUCAACUUUCAACCAAUCUAUCUACCUUAGGCCUAGACACAAUCCUAAACAAACUUUAUCCCUAGAUGAAUGCUCAUUUACGUAGAUAACUCAAGCAUCAAAUUCCUUUGGUUGAAUGUUAUCUAAGUAACCAUUAAUCUCAAGUCUACUAGCCAUCUUAACACCUUUAACAACAAAUUCCUUUGGUAAAGAAUGUUAAAAGCUUAGGAGAGUUGGUUCAGGCAUUUCAUCAAACACCUUCCGGGUAUGAAAUGCCUAGAGCUCAACUUUAGAGAGGCCAACUCUAGAGUUGCAUUAAAAGCACUCUACUAGCAAGGAACAAGAUGGAUCUAUACUAAAACACCUUAGAUCUAGCUUAAUCACCCUAAUCUACCUUAACCCAUGAAUCCAAAAUGUGUCUACUCAAUAAUCUCCAUGAGAAACCUUAAACCCAUAUAAGGAUCAAGGCUAAUCAUGUUAAUGAGCAAGAGAAAUACAAUUAUAAGAUGAAGUACUUCCUUAGAUUAUAGAAAGAUUCAAGCUUUUACAAGUUUAGACAAAAUCUUGAGAGAAAAUGAGAUAAAAAUAAAGUUUCUAGGUCUAAAUCUAUUUAUAGAGGUGUACAAGUCGUGCUGGUUUAAUUGAAUUAAACCGGGUCAAACCGGAAUAAACCGGUCAACAUCUCAAAAUCGCAUCCACAGCGGCCAUCGCAUCCCGCUCCACCAAGUCGAUAUUGGACAGGGGCAUGGGUCUUUUCCCAGCGGGUUCAUCAUCCCGUUUCACUAAGCCGCUGUGAUGCUUGAUCUUUUAUGAUGGAUUUCCCGAGCGGGUUCUUCUUCCUGCGUUGCCAGUGGUCGCUGUGAACCACGCUCAAUGCUCAACGGUGUCUCUCUCCUGCUCUGAUUCACGCCGUCGUCGUCGUCAGCCCAAGCUUCAGUCUUCGUCGCAAAUCAAGCCGUGACUGCGCCACCGUCUCCUCCAAGACGCGACCAAGCUUCCUCUGUGGCCGUGCUCAGCUCCACCGUAGUGCUCCGUCGUCGUCGUCGGCUCACGGCCUCUCUAUCUCCUGUGGCCGUGCUCAGAAUCUCCGCCGUGGAAGCUCCGGAAUCGCCAUCGGGAGUCGUCGCUUCAGUUUCCUCCGUGAAAGCUUGACCACGAGCUCCAAUGGUGAUCCACUGGCUGUCGUCCUUGAAACCUCCGCUUUCCACCACGAACUCCGCCACGGAUCAUCAUGUUCAGGCUAGCUCAGAUCCUCCGUAGUGACCUCAGCUCGAGCCGUGAAAGCAUGUCCUGAAGCUCCGGAGUCGUCGCUUCUCGCCGUCGCAGCCAUCGUCACGGAGAAGAGAAACAACAAUGGAGAUGUUCUAUCAAUUUGCGACCUUGGUCCCUGGAGUUUUUCUUGUUUACAAUUCAGCCCCAAUACUUCAUAAUUUGCAGCGAUGCCUCUCAAAUCAACC
rnacentral:lncRNA from 1 species